rnacentral:rRNA from 1 species
GAUGAACACUGGCGGCGUGCUUUACACAUGCAAGUCGAACGCUGAAGCCCCUUCGGGGGCCGAUGAGUGGCGAACGGGUGAGUAACACGUGGGUAACCUACCUCGCACAUCGGGAUAAGCCCGGGAAACUGGGGUCUAAUACCGAAUAUGACUUAUCACCACAUGGUGGUAAGUGGAAAGUUCCGGCGGUGCGAGAUGGACCCGCGGCCUAUCAGCUUG